GCCUUUCCUUACUAACCGUAGUUUGAGUUAAUUUCCUCAUCCACCUCCGUCCGGCAAUUACAAUUCCAUCCAGUUAUUUUUCAGAGCCAGACAUCGCGCUGCUCCGCACGUUUUGGGAUCGCUUCGGGUACGACUUUAAUUUGUUCGUUACAUGGAUAAUUAGCAGAGGCAACGCGCCGUGACCGGGUCGAGCCGGGAAUUUUGCGAGCGUAAUUAUUUUAGUUAAUGCCCCCGGCGUAUUUUUUUUAAAAACGCCGCGCCGCGCCGGGGCGGCGCGUUCCUAAUAUCGAGUACAUUAAGCCGUAUAUCUCGAAGAGCGAAAAGCACCGUGAAAAAUACAUCAAUUUGUCUAGCGGAAUUUCGUGGUUGGCAUCCCGUGAAAAGCAUAAAACUGCACGGCGCGCUUACACAGUGGCAGCAGGAAGACGGCUGCUCCUCACGUUCCUAAUAAUAAUAAGAGAGCCCGGGCGAACGGGACGAACAAAAGUGCCGGAGGAAACGCGACCUACGUGGCACGCUGAUGCUCGACCGUUACUUGUGCUCGGCAUUUUGCCAGUAGCAAUGAAAAACAUCUUGGAAUAAUGUAACUUGCAUCCAAGGAAAAUGACGAGGCGUGGAUCUGUGUUGCGAAUCGCUAUUGUGGCUUAAAGGAAUAAAAUUCAACAACUAAAAGAAGAGAAAUAAGAAAAUUUUUGUAUGUAUAAAAUGAAAUAGAUACGUAUGUCAUACGUAGUAUGUGUUAUUUGUUCAAGGACAUACCUUUUUACAUACAAGUUAUAACAAGUUUGCAGAGGAAGGUAGCGUUUUUACUCAGUUGGCUAAAUUCUUAUUGGCAGGAACGGCGCAAGGGUGAGGGCGGAAAAAUCAAUUAGACUGCCUUCGACAGCCACGUCGCCAUGAUUCAGGAAACCGAUAAAUCUCAGCUCAGCGACAUCAGCACCUCGACUGAAGUCUCGAGUAUCUCGCGCCAUUUCCACGUUCUUUUCCUUAUCCUUUUCCUUCUCAACGUUGAUUCUCAAGCGCAACGAGCGUCUAACGAAGGUAAAAGCGAGAUACUUUAUUGAUACUUGAUUAUUCUCAAACAAAAGGUAAGCCAAAAUUUUAUUCGAAACAGAUUGUAUCGAGUAAAGGAUAUGAAUAAAAGAAGAAUUCAUACAAAAUGCAUUAUGAGAUUUAAAUAUAUUUAUACAGAUGAUUUAAUUAUAUACGAAAGAAUUUCAAAGCAAAUCUGAAUUUUUCAAUUAGCGUAAUCAAUAACUUUAAUUGAAAUACAGAAAAAUUGCUUUUAAUUAAAUUUUAAUAAAUA